rnacentral:rRNA from 1 species
UACGGGAGGCAGCAGUAAGGAAUUUUCGGCAAUGGACGAAAGUCUGACCGAGCAACGCCGCGUGAGUGAUGAAGGCCUUCGGGUCGUAAAGCUCUGUGGUAAAGGAAGAAUACCAUGAUUAGGAAAUGAUUCAUGGCUGACGGUACUUUACUAGAAAGUCACGGCUUACUACGUGCCAGCAGCCGCGGUAAU